GACAGAUACAAAAAAGAAACAAGAGAACACAAACUAAAAACUCGCGCCACUCCCAUAGAAGCCUCUCCUAUGCGUGUUGUAUUAUUUUCGUUUUGUUGUUUUGGUUGUUUUGGUUGUUUUUUUCUCCAUUUUUU
rnacentral:ribozyme from 12 species